rnacentral:rRNA from 1 species
CGUGAAAAGGGAAACAACCCAGACCGUCAGCUAAGGUCCCAAAGUCAUGGUUAAGUGGGAAACGAUGUGGGAAGGCUUAGACAGCUAGGAGGUUGGCUUAGAAGCAGCCACCCUUUAAAGAAAGCGUAAUAGCUCACUAGUCGAGUCGGCCUGCGCGGAAGAUGUAACGGGGCUCAAACCAUGCACCGAAGCUACGGGUAUCACCUUUGGUGAUGCGGUAGAGGAGCGUUCUGUAAGCCUGUGAAGGUGAGUUGAGAAGCUUGCUGGAGGUAUCAGAAGUGCGAAUGCUGACAUGAGUAACGACAAUGCGAGUGAAAA